GCGGCGAACGGGUGAGUAAUGCUUUGGAAUCUUCCCAGUAGUGGGGAAUAACCAGUCGAAAGAUUGGCUAAUACCGCAUACGUGUGAAGAAAGCGGCGCUAUUGGAUGAGCCAAAGUCGGAUUAGCUAGUUGGUGGGGUAAUGGCCUACCAAGGCGACAAUCCGUAGCUGGUCUGAGAGGACGACCAGCCACACCGGAACUGAGACACGGUCCGGACUCCUACGGGAGGCAGCAGUGGGGAAUAUUGGACAAUGGGGGAAACCCUGAUCCAGCGACGCCGCGUGUGUGAAGAAGGCCUGCGGGUUGUAAAGCACUUUUAGUGGGGACAAAUGAUUUAACCCAAAGAAAAAGCACCGGCUAACUCUGUGCCAGCAGCCGCGGUAAUACAGAGGGUGCGAGCGUUAAUCGGAAUUACUGGGCGUAAAGCGCGCGUAGACGGUUUUGUAAGUCAGAUGUGAAAUCCCUGGGCUCAACCUGGGAACUGCAUUUGAAAC
rnacentral:rRNA from 1 species